rnacentral:lncRNA from 1 species
AUGUAUGUCCGUUUAUUGACACAUUUUCUUAAGUGCUUAUCCAGUUCAGGAUCACAGUGGUCUAUUGUCUUCAAACCAGCAGACAAAGCCGAUGGCAGAAGAUGUUUGGAGAAGAACUUCAGGCCGUGUACUGAAAAGAUCAAAGCAGCUCGUGCUCUGUCUGCUUCCAUUCUGAUGGCAAGAAGAAGAAGAAGGAGAAGACUUCAGCGAAGUGGCGUUCAUGGUCUCAGUGAACAGUCAUGGUCACACACUGCAUGUGGUUUAAAAGCAACAUGUCUGUUCACCACAACAAUGGAGAUGUGUAAUAUCAGUGCAGCUACGGUUUGUUCUUGAACAUCAGUUCUGUUUUCUACUUUGACCACUUAGAACAAAAAAGUGUUGUUUUCAGAUUCUUUCCUUUAAAUCUGUAAAGCACCUGCUCAUUUUUUAUUAAAAUUAGUUUCACAUAAAUGUUAGUGUUUCCUUUAUGAUCUUUUAAUGCUUACACUACACUGUACACAUCUACAUUAGAGACAUUUCUGUUACCUAUGUAUGAGACUGGGCUGCUUGACUACAAUUUGGAAAUGGAUGCAAACUCACACGGAUCGUGCUAUUGUUUGUUUUUUAAUAUGAUUCAAUUCAAUUCAAUAAAACUUUAUUGAUCCUGAAGGUUGACCCCGAGGGAAAUUUGGGUUAAGGCCAACACAGGACGUGUCUGACUAAGCAAAGAUUAAUCUGAUCCCAUUUCUACCUGUCUCUACUGUUUCAACUGUAAUUGUCAGGAUAUAUAUUUAUUCCAGCUCUCAUAGGGCAAAGGAAUGACUCAGACUUGUCAAAUGUUCUUUGACUUGAUAAACAAUUUGAAGUUCACAAUUUUAUUACAAAUAAAACUAUAAUGACAAACAUGAACAGCUGUGCUUAUUUCUGAGACAUGAUUUUUUUGAAUGUGUUCACAUUUAGACAGUGUACAUUUGUAUGCUGAAACUGUAAUGGUGAACCUGAGGUGAUGGUCAACACAAGGCAAAUAUACAUAAAUAUAAAACAAUAUUGAAGUAAUGUCUUUACCCUCUGCAGCGUGUGGACGCUGUGCACACAAUCACCUUAUUCACUGUAGUAAACAUGCUAGCUCACGUGACUGACUGUCUCCAUGGUUACAUCGUAUAUUAUUAGCUAUGCAAACAGCUUCCAAAGAUACCGCCAUAGCGCUCUGCAGCUGUAACACUUUCACACUUUACAAAUCAUUUCACGUUUUUGAAAGUUAUGAAGAAAGAAUAUGUUUUUAAGGUCAUGCUAGGCGG